GAUGAACGCUGGCGGCGUGCCUAAUACAUGCAAGUCGAGCGAACAGACGAGGAGCUUGCUCCUCUGACGUUAGCGGCGGACGGGUGAGUAACACGUGGAUAACCUACCUAUAAGACUGGGAUAACUUCGGGAAACCGGAGCUAAUACCGGAUAAUAUAUUGAACCGCAUGGUUCAAUAGUGAAAGACGGUUUUGCUGUCACUUAUAGAUGGAUCCGCGCCGCAUUAGCUAGUUGGUAAGGUAACGGCGUACCAAGGCGACGAUGCGUAGCCGACCUGAGAGGGUGAUCGGCCACACUGGAACUGAGACACGGUCCAGACGCCUACGGGAGGCAGCAGUAGGGAAUCUUCCGCAAUGGGCGAAAGCCUGACGGAGCAACGCCGCGUGAGUGAUGAAGGUCUUCGGAUCGUAAAACUCUGUUAUUAGGGAAGAACAAAUGUGUAAGUAACUAUGCACGUCUUGACGGUACCUAAUCAGAAAGCCACGGCUAACUACGUG
rnacentral:rRNA from 1 species